rnacentral:rRNA from 1 species
CCUCGGAGAGUUUGAUCCUGGCUCAGGACGAACGCUGGCGGCGUGCCUAAUACAUGCAAGUCGAGCGAACAGAAGGGAGCUUGCUCCCGGAUGUUAGCGGCGGACGGGUGAGUAACACGUGGGUAACCUGCCUGUAAGACUGGGAUAACUCCGGGAAACCGGAGCUAAUACCGGAUAGUUCCUUGAACCGCAUGGUUCAAGGAUGAAAGACGGUUUCGGCUGUCACUUACAGAUGGACCCGCGGCGCAUUAGCUAGUUGGUGGGGUAAUGGCUCACCAAGGCGACGAUGCGUAGCCGACCUGAGAGGGUGAUCGGCCACACUGGGACUGAGACACGGCCCAGACUCCUACGGGAGGCAGCAGUAGGGAAUCUUCCGCAAUGGACGAAAGUCUGACGGAGCAACGCCGCGUGAGUGAUGAAGGUUUUCGGAUCGUAAAGCUCUGUUGUUAGGGAAGAACAAGUGCGAGAGUAA